rnacentral:rRNA from 1 species
AUGAACGCUAGCUACAGGCUUAACACAUGCAAGUCGAGGGGCAGCAUGAACUUAGCUUGCUAAGUUUGAUGGCGACCGGCGCACGGGUGAGUAACACGUAUCCAACCUGCCGAUGACUCGGGGAUAGCCUUUCGAAAGAAAGAUUAAUACCCGAUGGCAUAGUUCUUCCGCAUGGUAGAACUAUUAAAGAAUUUCGGUCAUCGAUGGGGAUGCGUUCCAUUAGGUUGUUGGCGGGGUAACGGCCCACCAAGCCUUCGAUGGAUAGGGGUUCUGAGAGGAAGGUCCCCCACAUUGGAACUGAGACACGGUCCAAACUCCUACGGGAGGCAGCAGUGAGGAAUAUUGGUCAAUGGACGAGAGUCUGAACCAGCCAAGUAGCGUGAAGGAUGACUGCCCUAUGGGUUGUAAACUUCUUUUAUACGGGAAUAAAGUGAGGCACGUGUGCCUUUUUGUAUGUACCGUAUGAAUAAGGAUCGGCUAACUCCGUGCCAGCAGCCGCGGUAAUACGGAGGAUCCGAGCGUUAUCCGGAUUUAUUGGGUUUAAAGGGAGCGUAGGCGGACGCUUAAGUCAGUUGUGAAAGUUUGCGGCUCAACCGUAAAAUUGCAGUUGAUACUGGGUGUCUUGAGUACAGUAGAGGCAGGCGGAAUUCGUGGUGUAGCGGUGAAAUGCUUAGAUAUCACGAAGAACUCCGAUUGCGAAGGCAGCUUGCUGGACUGUAACUGACGCUGAUGCUCGAAAGUGUGGGUAUCAAACAGGAUUAGAUACCCUGGUAGUCCACACAGUAAACGAUGAAUACUCGCUGUUUGCGAUAUACAGUAAGCGGCCAAGCGAAAGCGUUAAGUAUUCCACCUGGGGAGUACGCCGGCAACGGUGAAACUCAAAGGAAUUGACGGGGGCCCGCACAAGCGGUGGAGCAUGUGGUUUAAUUCGAAGCAACGCGAAGAACCUUACCAGGUCUUGACAUCCCGAUGCUAUUUCUAGAGAUAGAAAGUUACUUCGGUACAUCGGUGACAGGUGGUGCAUGGUUGUCGUCAGCUCGUGUCGUGAGAUGUUGGGUUAAGUCCCGCAACGAGCGCAACCCUUGCUAUUAGUUGCUACGCAAGAGCACUCUAAUAGGACUGCCGUUGACAAAACGGAGGAAGGUGGGGACGACGUCAAAUCAUCAUGCCCCUUAUGCUCUGGGCUACACACGUGUUACAAUGGGGGGUACAGAAGGCAGCUACACGGCGACGUGAUGCUAAUCCCUAAAGCCUCUCUCAGUUCGGAUUGGAGUCUGCAACCCGACUCCAUGAAGCUGGAUUCGCUAGUAAUCGCGCAUCAGCCACGGCGCGGUGAAUACGUUCCCGGGCCUUGUACACACCGCCCGUCAAGCCAUGAAAGCCGGGGGUACCUGAAGUGCGUAACCGCAAGGAGCGCCCUAGGGUAAAACUGGUGAUUGGGGCU